UACGAAGGGUGCAAGCGUUAUCCGGAUUCAUUGGGUUUAAAGGGUGCGUAGGUGGGGUGAUAAGUCAGUGGUGAAAUCCUGCGGCUCAACCGUAGAAUUGCCAUUGAUACUGUCAUUCUUGAGUACGCUUGACGUGGGCGGAAUGUGCCGUGUAGCGGUGAAAUGCUUAGAUAUGGCACAGAACACCGAUAGUGAAGACAGCUCACGAAGGCGAAACUGACACUGAGGCACGAAAGCGUGGGGAUCGAACAGG
rnacentral:rRNA from 1 species